rnacentral:rRNA from 1 species
CUAUACAUGACUCUGCGCAUAUCAAUAAGCGGAGGAAAAGAAACUAACAAGGAUUCCCUCAGUAACGGCGAGUGAAGCGGGAAGAGCUCAAAUUUGAAAUCUUCAAGGUUCUACCUUGACGAAUUGUAGUUUAAAGAAGUGUUUUCUGUUGGAGUUUUGGUAAAAGUUCUUUGGAAUAGGACAUCAUAGAGGGUGAGAAUCCCGUAUUUGACCAUUAUUUCCAGCUGUGUGAUACACUUUCAAAGAGUCGGAUUGUUUGGGAAUGCAGUCCAAAAUGGGUGGUAAAUUUCAUCUAAAGCUAAAUACUGGCGAGAGACCGAUAGCGAACAAGUACCGUGAGGGAAAGAUGAAAAGAACUUUGAAAAGAGAGUUAAACAGUACGUGAAAUUGUCAAAAGGGAAGCGUUUGACACCAGUGUUGUUUUCUCGAAAAUCAAUUAAAAAUGCAUGGGAUUUUGUGUUGUAUUGACUUUAUCAGCUUUCUGCACUUUUUUCUUAUCUUUUUUAAUGCACUUUUCGUUUAACAAGUCAACAUCAAUUUCUUUUGCUGUAAAAGGGUCAUUGGAAGGUGGCUUUCUUUUCGGAGAAAGUGUUUAUAGCCUUUACCUUCUGCAAGUCGGAGAGAUUGAGGUCUGCAGCGUAGAUCCUUCGGGGUUAGAUGCAUUUGUGCUAAGUUAUAGCCUUUCAUAGACAACUUGUUGACUAUGAUCAGUCAUGUAGCUUACUCGCUUAUGUCAUUUUACCUACGCUUAGGAUGUUGAUAGUCACAGCGUGUAC